GUUGCCAAGGUGAUCAUGAAGCCAAAGAAAGAAAGGUGCCCUGCCUGACCUGGUAUGUACAAAUAACAAAGAAUUGGCUGUGCAUGUGGAAGUUGUUGCCAGCCUUGGCUGAAGUUUGGUUGUAGACAAGUCAGCAGUAGUGUCCCCUCCUUAGCCUGAAAUAUGCUGUUAAUAAACAAGAGGACAAGUUUCUAGAGAUCCAAUAUUCAACAAAGAGCUACUGCAGUAUUUAUUCUGUUUCUGAAGUUUCUGGAGAGAGAAGCUGCAAGAAUCAAAAAAGGAAGCAAGCUUACAAAGCAACACCUACCUGAUAUACCCUGAGACUCCUUCUGUAGAUCACAGUACCACAGUCUGUUCACUGGAUCACAGCCUUCUCUGAUAGACAGCAAGACAUAUCGACCAUCAUCCGACACCUGUAAGAAGUUACAGAAAAAUCUAAGACAAUUCAUACUCUGGAAAAGAGAACUCCAACUUGAAAAAUAUAUGCUGCCCAAAGACUUUUGCAUAACACCACUGACCCUGGAUAUGACUCCACUAAGAAGAAUUUACAUGCAAGAAACCUUCCACUUGCUGCAGAAAUUACCUCUUUUGUUAUUU